UAGGAAACAUGAGGCUGCUGUUGUCCGAGGCAUAGGGGUUUGGUGUGCGUGGGCCUGACUGAACCCGGUUCUUAUUUGCCUGUUUUUUGACACUGGAGCCAUCGUCAUACUCAUCUUCAUCAUCAUCUUCCUCUUUUUUCUCCAGACCAGGGUGCGGUUGCAGCUUUGGGACAUCUGUUGGACAAGAUAAAAGGUUGCAAUGAGGCAGGAUGUGAAUUGGGAGAUCACUGGAGACACUCCCUUCCUUCCCCUCUCCCUGAUCCAACAGGAACACAGGCAAGAGGGCACCUGACACCACACUGAAACCACAGCCAGAACACCCCAGAAGACAGGAACAUCCUCCCUCACAGAGGAUCACACCACUGUUUCUUUCCUCCAUGAGGUAAGAGCAUCCAAAAAUCCAGUCUGCAAAAAAACCUACAUCCUUCCACCCCAUCCAGGUGUCACACAGAGAAGUUAAUGCACAGAGCACACAGUCAGAUACUGCAGCUGCUCAGGGAGAUCUAAGCAAGAACAAGCACCUGCUGCCUGCAGGACCAGCAGAUACAGGUGCAAACAGGAAAUGGAAAACCCUUUCCAUGAACAGCCCUACCCCACAUCACUGCACCCCCCAACCCCACAGCUACCAGAGAGCAACAUGGUCCUACCCCACUCAAACCCAGCCCUCUGAGCUUGGGGCCUGAACUGCAGGUCCCCCACACAGCAAAGUGCCACCUGGCCACAAGGUUCUCACCAAAUCUUCAGCAUCACUUGGAAAUCUGACUAACAGUAAAGCAAAGUGAUGGUUUGGUGAGAGGGGUCCUAAACACCCCCUGUUUGGGAGCCAGAGGGGCUUCCAGUCCAGCACACUUACAAAGAGUGUGAUGGAAGUACAAGAACUUUUCUAGCACUCCCCACUGCUACCCAGAUGAUCUGAUACCCAGUAAGAAAACACUGCCUUGUCCUCAAGCUGAGAAGGCAAAACAAAGCUCCAGGAAGUUCCAAAACAAACUGAUUUUUCUCGUUCCAAAAUGACAGGAUUUGUGACUUGGAGGAGAACGAGGACAUUACACACCUACUUCACUCCGCAACUGCACUCUGUGGGAACUCACUGAGAGAGAAACAAUUUUGGCAGAUGUGGGUCAGCAAGAGCUAUGAUCUCAUAGUCUGAGAAGCAACAGGCUGCUCUCCAAGGGGGAAGAGCCUUCUGGCUCAAAACCUGUGCUUACCUUCCACUGUUCCUUGCAGAAUGUAUAGGGCACAGAUUUUUGGAUUGUCAUAGUAGCCCUAGAGAAAGCAAAGGCAGCAGUCAGUCCACAUUCCUUGCCUCAGCUGCAGUUCUGAGGCAAGGAAUGGUCUCCCCACGUCCCAUCCCCUCUCCUUCAGCACAGAGCUGCACUGCACAGCUGGGGAACAAGGAGAAAGGGAAGAUCAGGGCUCUGCCCUGGAAAGCUUAUUACCUUUACAAACUCAAUGUGGAGCUUCCCCGUGAACGUGGAAACCUCCCCCUGGACACUCAGUUUCCCCUUUUUGAUACUCAUGGGAAUGAUCUCAUCGUGAGCUGUGCUGUGUCCAACUCUGUCAAAAAUGUCCAAGUCUUUCACCACCACGUGGCCAUUCAAGCGAACAUCAAAUACCUUCAGGGUGAAAGAAAUGACAGAGUCAGAACAGAUUCAGGCACGUGACAGCUGAAAUGGGAACAGAACAGGAAAGGUCUCUGCUUGUUAUGCACCCAGGACCUGAAAGCAUUGUAACAUGCACUGCCCCACUCCCUUGGGAAGGAUUCAGAGCCCAAAGCAGCCAGGUAGAGAUACUGAAGCAUUAACCUUGCUUUCAAAUACCCUGGAACCUGCCUCCUCCUUUUAAAAUACCCCCUACAUCUGCUGUUCUGAACUGAGGACAGAAGAAUUUUAUUCUGGUUUAUUCAUGCUUUUUUUUCCACAACUUUCUUUCCACCUCCUGUCUGAGGACCUGCUCCUACCACCCCGGGGUGGCUGUGGCACACCACACCCUAGGGAAUGAAGCCAUUUCUAACUAACAGCCUGCAGCAGAACAGAGAGGAGGAAACAAGCUGGUGAAGAACACAGGGUUUGAAGGAGGUAAAAUGUUUAACUGCUAACCACAUCUGUGAAUUCAUAGUGAAAGUCCUCCUCAGGGCUGCAAUGACUCAAACUUCACUCAGCACCUGGGGAAUCCCAGCAGAACCACAUCAAGGAAGAGGAACCAAAGAUGCCUCAGCCCUUCAGUUUAAUCUGAAGCUGCUUUUUGCAUCCGUUCUGUAAGCCAGCCCCACCAGUUCUGUUCCCUGAAAUACCUCUCUGGCAGGAAGGCAGCACAGUGCUUAAGGAGAUCAGCUCUAAAGAAGCUGAUGGAGUCAAGGGAAAGACAGGCUAUUACACAAACCACUCCUACCCCGAUUUAUCACAGGGCUUUGAGUUCUUUGUGCUUCUGUUUCCACCUCUGCACACAAGGUAUUUCAAAAGUGGACAAGAGCAAUAAAGAGGGCGAAUUUAAUUCUGUGCUUUCAGGACCAGACUGAACCAGUAUCAAGUCUUAUUUCAUUUGUAAAAAUUGUUUUGAGUAGGUUCCAGAUCACCUCCCUGCUUCAAUCUGUGCAAUACUUCCUCCAACACAACUGUGCUGUCACGGCAGGAACAACUGUUCAGGAAAAACGUAAAAAAACUCUUCAAAACCAGCACAGCCUAAACAGGUCAUAAAACUCUAUUGCUAGUUAUGUUUAGUUGAACAUGGUUUUUGAAUGCUUUGAAAUGCAGUUUUCCAGUCUGACUGUAUAGCUGGAACGUGGGAGAGAGCUCUAAAGUUUCAGAGCCCGUGAGGGCUCUAGGAUCAAAGUUAACCAUCAGUGCCUUACUUCACUCCUUCCUCCAGCAUGCAAAGCAGCAGAGGCAACCUGAGCACACACAGUCAUAGCCAGGAACUCACAUCAAAGACACACAGGAGCUGUUGCUUACCUUCUGUUGAGACUGUGCAAAAUAGACCUCUGCAAACUUCAACACCAGCACAUAGUCACCCUCCUCUUUGAUGGGAACUUCAUAGCCAAAGGUUUCCUCAUUGUAGCGCUCGGUCUGGUACAGAAUCUGGUCUUCUGCGUUGGACCGCAGGAUCGGCAGCUUCAUCCCGUAGUCAGAAGCUGGGUUUCAAGCACAAAAGAGUGAGAGGAGGGGUUAAUUUCUGAGGCACAUGCAAGAAACACUUUAUAUACUCUUAUAGUGCUUAACUCCACAAGUGGCACUUGCAUCCUUGUCAGACCCGUCUCCCCUCCUUGCUCUGACCAGGUGGCGGCACUACUGGAGCAGAAGCAGAGGGAACCAAAGCCCUGGAACCCCAGCCCUGUAGGAAAAUAGCUCUGGACCUGCUGCAGUCCAGACAAAGUAAAUUCACUUGCACCAUUUCAGAAAGAAGAGCUUGUUUCACAAACAGUGCACAAAGCCGAAAGACUUGGCCAGUGGCUCUUGUUCCUAAGAGGAAAAACACCUAGAAUAUUUUUACGGUAUUUUCAAAUCUCAAACUCUGAGUAGAAAACAAAACCAGUGGGCACAGGACUGACUUGACUCGUUGAUACAACAGAUUUGAAGGUAGCAGUUGAUGGCAUCAGGUUUUAGAGACUCAUCCCCCUCAAGUGAAAACCUAGGGGAUGGUAGAAGUGUGAAAAGCAUUAGGCAUCUUACAACACCCUUUCUUCUCAUCGCAGCCCUGCAAUACUGUCAGCCUGAAGACAGGAAGAAGGAAGCAAGAUACACAAGGGUUUCAAGAGCACCAACAGCUCCAUCAGCUGCUGUUCUCACAGCCACCCAGCUGAAGUGGGUGCUGUCUGGAGCCAUCUGAACAGCCCCCUGAGAAGGGCCCAAACAACAUUCCUAAACAGCACAAUAACUGACAAAAUAAGAGAAAUCAUAAAAUUUGCCUCCUCUCACUCAUUGUUUCACCACAUCUCAAGCAGCCCCCAAAAGACUUUAACUCGACUUGGCAUUUUAUUGUGCCAGGGUUACUGUACAAAUGCAAACUGAUGCAAUGCCUCCAGAGCUGCAAAUCCAGUGACUCCCCAGCGAAGUAGGGGCAGGAGGGAAGACUGUGGACACCAUCUGCCCACUGGCACUUGAGGCAGGAGAAGUUGAUCCAGACGAAGUUCUCUGCUGACACUUACCACUUCCAACCCCAUUUCCAUGGGAACAGACACUGCAUCAGCCAAGACAAAGCAAGAACUACUAACCCAGAGCACGUUGCCAAAGACAGAGCCAAUGCAAACGAGUGAGAGGAAAUUAAUGCCAGUUCUUAGUCUCCUGUUUCACACAGAGCUGUUCAGGCGAUCGUCCGCUUCUCUUUACCACCCGAACCUGGGCGCAAGGACUGAACACUCUAAUCACCAGAAACACAGAGGGUGAAAAGUUUAACCUGUCCUCCCACACAGGUAUUUCUGGCCAGCUACAGAUUACAGUGACAGCGAACCAAGGGCUCCACAGAAGUACGUUUCUAUUAGAGGAAAGCCUGCACAGGAAGCAAGUCCUUUAAUAGCCAAGAAGGUAACUGGAGAGGAAGACCUGUCACCUGCGUGUCAGAGCCCUGCUGACAGAGCUGUGGAGGCGAGCUGGGUUUUACAGCAGGCUGGGUGCUCACUGGGAGCAAGCAGUGCCCAUCAAACUGUAACUCAACUAUGCCUGGCACCUGCCUAAUUCUGUAAUUGCCAUCAGCACAUUCAGUCCUUCAGGGUACAGCGGCUGAACUGAGGCUUGAAAAAAAAGGUUUUAAUUUGCCCAGAGGCAGGACAGCCCAGAAUUACUAUCCCUAGGUCAUUUCCUCCCAGUCAGCCAUAUAUUUCUGCUGAAGCCAUUACAUGCCUAUCAACACAGAGGAACCCAGAGAAAACGAACAAUGGUGCAAUAAAAAGCCAUUGAGGGAAAUGCAGCUGAGAGCUCAAAGGGGUAAAGUCUCCACUGUGCCUGGCACCACUGGCUGAAGCAGAAUUACUGCAAUGGCCUGCUGUGCAGAGGAGACACCACAGGCUUUCCCCAAAGGAAGAACAUGUCACAAUGUGCUUGAGAAAGACCCUUUUUUCUCCUCAACUCAGAAAUAAAUUGUUCCAGUCCACAAGGACAUUCAAGUGACACAUGUGAGAGGUCUAUGAAGGGAAGCUGACCUACAGCAGCCAAGGCACCUUGGGCAACUGGGAUGCCAGCUUCCAUGGGUGCAAAAAACAAACCAUAUUAGAACUUAAAAGUAACCUCCCCUGCAUCCACUGUGCCCAAAAGGUUCUCCAUUUGGGAUAGCACUCAUGCAGGGUAAGCAAUGGCAGUUCCAGCUGUAUAGCACAGGAAAAUCCUUACCAUCCUACACGGAAACAGCAAAGGUUAGACUCAAAAGUCAACAGACUUUCUCCACACUCCACCUGGAAAUGACUGCAGAGCAGCUCAGCACAGCUAACGUUUUAUACAACUGUGAAUCAA